rnacentral:rRNA from 1 species
UACAGAGGUCUCAAGCGUUGUUCGGAUUCAUUGGGCGUAAAGGGUGCGUAGGCGGCGCGGUAAGUCGGGGUGUGAAAUCUCGGGGCUUAACUCCGAAACUGCAUUCGAUACUGCCGUGCUUGAGGACCGGAGAGGAGACUGGAAUUUACGGUGUAGCGGUGGAAUGCGUAGAUAUCGUAAGGAAGACCAGUGGCGAAGGCGGGUCUCGUGGACAGUUCCUGACGCUGAGGCACGAAGGCCAGGGGAGCAAACGGG